rnacentral:tRNA from 1 species
CGGGGUGUAGCGCAGUCCGGUUAGCGCACCUGCUUCGGGAGCAGGGGGUGGGCGGUUCGAAUCCGCCCACCCCGACCA